UACGGGGGGAGCAAGCGUUGUUCGGAUUUACUGGGCGUAAAGGGCGCGUAGGCGGCCACCGCAAGUCGACUGUGAAAUCUCCGGGCUUAACCCGGAAAGGUCAGCCGAUACUGCGGGGCUAGAGUGCAGAAGGGGCAACUGGAAUUCUCGGUGUAGCGGUGAAAUGCGUAGAUAUCGAGAGGAACACCGGUGGCGAAGGCGGCAUCCUGGACCAACACUGACGCUGAGGAGCGAAAGCCAGGGGAGCAAACGGG
rnacentral:rRNA from 1 species